AGAACGAACGCUGGCGGCAUGCCUAACACAUGCAAGUCGAACGAGACCUUCGGGUCUAGUGGCGCACGGGUGCGUAACGCGUGGGAAUCUGCCCUUGGGUUCGGGAUAACAGUUGGAAACGACUGCUAAUACCGGAUGAUGUCUUCGGACCAAAGAUUUAUCGCCCAGGGAUGAGCCCGCGUAGGAUUAGCUUGUUGGUGAGGCAAGAGCUCACCAAGGCGACGAUCCUUAGCUGGUCUGAGAGGAUGAUCAGCCACACUGGGACUGAGACACGGCCCAGACUCCUACGGGAGGCAGCAGUGGGGAAUAUUGGACAAUGGGCGAAAGCCUGAUCCAGCAAUGCCGCGUGAGUGAUGAAGCCUUAGGGUGUAAAGCUCUUUACCGGGAUGAUAAUGACAGUGCCGGAGAAGUAACGCCCCGGCUAACUCCGCGCCAGCAGCCGC
rnacentral:rRNA from 1 species